UACAGAGGGUGCAAGCGUUAAUCGGAGUUACUGGGCGUAAAGGGCGCGUAGGCGGUCAUUUAAGUUGGAUGUGAAAUCCCUGGGCUUAACCUAGGAACUGCAUUCAAUACUGGAUGACUAGAAUAUUGUAGAGGGUAGUGGAAUUUCCGGUGUAGCGGUGAAAUGCGUAGAGAUCGGAAGGAACACCAGUGGCGAAGGCGGCUACCUGGACAAAUAUUGACGCUGAGGCGCGAAAGCGUGGGGAGCAAACAGG
rnacentral:rRNA from 1 species